UGCGACGUAAGCACCAUCGACAAUAAGGUCCCUUUUCAUAGAUAAUGUCACAUAUCAUAUUUUUUUAAAUGCUCCUAAUUCUUAUGAUGCCCUUAGUUUUUUGCCGAAUUUUUAAUUACGAAAAAUUCGGCACUCUAGGGGCAUAGCUGUGGUAGAUAUACAACUAAUGGUGUCAAAAUAUUUUCAAUGUGAUUAUCCCAAGAGGAAAAUGUUUGUAUGAAAAAAAGAUUUCGCACAGGUUCUUCACUUUCGUCUUAAUAACAAAACGUACGUGAGAGAGAGACAUAAAAAUACGGUUUCGCAAAACAUUAAAUCAUAAUAUUUAUUCACGAUACAAGGGCGAUAAAUAGGAAAUCGUAACGAGUGGCGAUAAAUUAAAACACGACCGAAGAGAGUGUUUUAAAUCGACACGAGUUGCGAAUUACCUAUUCGCACGUGUAUCGUACAACGUUUUUCAGUACAUAUGGCUCUUUAAAGUUUCGACAUAGUUACAUAAUGAGCUAAUUUACGCACUAGUGCGGAAUAGUAGCACCAUAUGUACUGAAAUAGUACAUUACGAUACAAGUGCGAAAAAUAGGAAAUUCGAAACGAGUGGCGAUAAAUUAAAACACGACCGAAGGGAGUGUUUUAAAUCGACACGAGUUGCGAAUUACCUAUUCGCACAUGUAUCGUACAACGUUUUACAGUACAUAUGGCCCUUUAAAUGUUCGACACAGUAACGUAAUAUGCUACUUCUCGCACUAGUGCUAUAAAGUAGCCCCAUAUGUACUGUAAAAUACAUUUUCUGCCCUCCGGGCGGAAAGCGUCAACUUGGCUCCCGCUGCGAUAUUUUGAUCGCAGCUAUUUAAAUGUAAUGGUUGCGUAAAUGCAACUGCUUUUGACAUUGGGGUUAAUGAGGCGGUCGAAACGCAAAAACGUUGGCCUUUUAGGCUGUGGCGUCGUUCGUGUACAUUUGAGAGUGACUAAUCAAAUUAAACUUGAAGAUAUUACGAUGUAUUGUGAUAAAUGGGUCUUACUUGUACCAAAUUAGGGCAGGCAAAAACUAGAAAGAAUUUGAAAAUAAAUACGACGACUGUAGUGGUAUUAUAAAGCCUGAGACAUUCAUUUAUAGGUCUGUGUCCUAUAGAUUGAUUAAAUCGUUUUGCACAGCCGUCGCGAAAACUGAUUUGACUUAUUGCACACUAACCUAUUGUUGACGUGUCUUUCGCUCAAUUAUUUAUUGUAUAUUACCACUAUAGAUGUGUGUGUUUGUCUCAUCCUGCUUGUGGUAUUCAUCCUUUGAUUUUUGCGUAAUAUACAUGACAUAAUUUUAUGUAAUAUAAUAUGUAUUUUCUGUAAUAUACAUGACAUAAUUUUGAGCCCACGAAAACUUUUACUUAAACUUAAUACCCCCGCUACGCACUUCGCGCGUAGCGAAUAGCCGAAUUCCUAAAAACGGAUGUAUUUGAAACCUUACGAAUUAAUAUUAGCUUAGAUGUCUUCCAAAGUCGUCUGGGUUAUAAAUACGCUUCAAAACACCAUUACGCUUGUACGUUUGACAGGACUAACGUCUAAAAAGUACAUUUUCUGCCCUCCGGGCGGAAAGCGUCAACUUGGCUCCCGCUGCGAUAUUUUGAUCGCAGCUAUUUAAAUGUAAUGGUUGCGUAAAUGCAACUGCUUUUGACAUUGGGGUUAAUGAGGCGGUCGAAACGCAAAAACGUUGGCCUUUUAGGCUGUGGCGUCGUUCGUGUACAUUUGAGAGUGACUAAUCAAAUUAAACUUGAAGAUAUUACGAUGUAUUGUGAUAAAUGGGUCUUACUUGUACCAAAUUAGGGCAGGCAAAAACUAGAAAGAAUUUGAAAAUAAAUACGACGACUGUAGUGGUAUUAUAAAGCCUGAGACAUUCAUUUAUAGGUCUGUGUCCUAUAGAUUGAUUAAAUCGUUUUGCACAGCCGUCGCGAAAACUGAUUUGACUUAUUGCACACUAACCUAUUGUUGACGUGUCUUUCGCUCAAUUAUUUAUUGUAUAUUACCACUAUAGAUGUGUGUGUUUGUCUCAUCCUGCUUGUGGUAUUCAUCCUUUGAUUUUUGCGUAAUAUACAUGACAUAAUUUUAUGUAAUAUAAUAUGUAUUUUCUGUAAUAUACAUGACAUAAUUUUGAGCCCACGAAAACUUUUACUUAAACUUAAUACCCCCGCUACGCACUUCGCGCGUAGCGAAUAGCCGAAUUCCUAAAAACGGAUGUAUUUGAAACCUUACGAAUUAAUAUUAGCUUAGAUGUCUUCCAAAGUCGUCUGGGUUAUAAAUACGCUUCAAAACACCAUUACGCUUGUACGUUUGACAGGACUAACGUCUAAAAAGUACAUUUUCUGCCCUCCGGGCGGAAAGCGUCAACUUGGCUCCCGCUGCGAUAUUUUGAUCGCAGCUAUUUAAAUGUAAUGGUUGCGUAAAUGCAACUGCUUUUGACAUUGGGGUUAAUGAGGCGGUCGAAACGCAAAAAACGUUGGCCUUUUAGGCUGUGGCGUCGUUCGUGUACAUUUGAGAGUGACUAAUCAAAUUAAACUUGAAGAUAUUACGAUGUAUUGUGAUAAAUGGGUCUUACUUGUACCAAAUUAGGGCAGGCAAAAACUAGAAAGAAUUUGAAAAUAAAUACGACGACUGUAGUGGUAUUAUAAAGCCUGAGACAUUCAUUUAUAGGUCUGUGUCCUAUAGAUUGAUUAAAUCGUUUUGCACAGCCGUCGCGAAAACUGAUUUGACUUAUUGCACACUAACCUAUUGUUGACGUGUUUUACGCUCAAUUAUUUAUUGUAUAUUACCACUAUAGAUGUGUGUGUUUGUCUCAUUCUGCUUGUGGUAUUCAUCCUUUGAUUUUUGCGUAAUAUACAUGACAUAAUUUUAUGUAAUAUAAUAUGUAUUUUGCACUUCGCGCGUAGCGAAUAGCCGAAAACCUAAAAACGGAUGUAUUUGAAACCUUACGAAUUAAUAUUAGCUUAGAUGUCUUCCAAAGUCGUCUGGGUUAUAAAUACGCUUCAAAACACUAUUACGCUUGUACGUUUGACAGGACUAACGUCUAAAAAGUACAUUUUCUGCCCUCUGGGCGGAAAGCGUCAACUUUGCUCCCGCUGCGCUAAACGAAGUUGCUGCUUUCCGUUGAGUAGAAAAAUUGUAUACGCUCUACGGGAAGAAACGUAGGAUAUUCCAUCCCACGUGUUUACCACCCUCGCCUUCGGCUCAGGUGACAAUUUUACACGCGGCACGCAAUUUCCUACUUUUCCUCCCUUGGGACACAAAUAACUAUUGUUUAAAAAAAGGUGCACUAUAACGUUUUAACGAAGUUAAUGUUUAUAUAAAUAUGUGAUGCAGCUCAAACUGUCGUUAGACCGCCGUGCGCCAUUUUGUUAAGUCGAGCAGCCAUCUUGUAAUAAUUCAAGAUGGCGGCAUUUGAUGCGAUAGCGGGAAACAUUUGCCUAAUAUUUUGAUCGCAGCUAUUUAAAUUAUUGUAAUGGUUGCGUAAAUGCAACUGCUUUUGACAUUGGGGUUAAUGAGGCGGUCGAAACGACGCCAAAGCCUAAAAGGCCAACGUUCUUGGCAAGGCAUCUUAUAGAUGCAUGGAUACGUGAUAAGACUUGUGAAAUGCGGGCGAAGCUCUAUAUUUUGUGAUAACUAUGGGCGAAUCGGCCAUGUCAAUUUUUUAUUGGUUUGGGAAAACUACCCAAUGAUUGGCACUAUGUAAUUUACAUCUUUUUGUAAGUCACCACCGCUUAAGUAAAAAGGUGCCCACUAAUGGUGGGCUGACGAGAAUAGGGUAGUUUACCCUACUAUCGACUUGUUUUUGACGUGCGUUUUACAGUGGUAAACGCAUUAGUUUGUAACAAUUAUGUUUUGUAUUUAACUUUUUUUUUAGUUUUGAGUGUCGUCAGUGUAUAGUUCACUUUCGAAAGUAUACAUGAAUUUUGAAUUAUGCAAGUAUUAAUGUAGGCGUCACAGCUAUGAAAUACAAUUUAUUUAAGCUCUUUUGAGCUAUAAAGCUGUACAAAUGAAAGUUUAUAAAACUCCUAAUAAAAAAUGGGUAAGUAUAAAGGCAUAAAGGGAAACUGAACUAUGCACUAGACCAGGUUGAGUCGUUAGGGCGUGGAGCUCUCGUGUCGCUUGCGGCGCGGGGAUGCUGCAACAUUGUAAAUAUCACGCGUAUCGAACUAUAUAAAUGUAAGAGAUGUUUCACUUCAUGUAAAUAAAUGUGAUUCAUAAGAA